UAGGGAAUCUUCGGCAAUGGGGGGGAACCCUGACCGAGCAACGCCGCGUGAGUGAAGGAGGUUUUCGGAUCGUAAAGCUUUGUUGUUAAGGAAGAACGAGUGUGAGAAUGGAAAGUUCAUGCUGUGACGGUACUUAACCAGAAAGGGACGGCUAACUCCGUGCCAGCAGCCGCGGUAAUACGUAGGUCCCGAGCGUUGUCCGGAUUUAUUGGGCGUAAAGCGAGCGCAGGCGGUUAGAAAAGUCUGAAGUGAAAGGCAGUGGCUCAACCAUUGUAGGCUUUGGAAACUGUUUAACUUGAGUGCAGAAGGGGAGAGUGGAAUUCCAUGUGUAGCGGUGAAAUGCGUAGAUAUAUGGAGGAACACCGGUGGCGAAAGCGGCUCUCUGGUCUGUAACUGACGCUGAGGCUCGAAAGCGUGGGGAGCGAACAGG
rnacentral:rRNA from 1 species